rnacentral:misc_RNA from 1 species
GAUGAAGAACGCAGUGAAAUGCGAUACGUAAUGUGAAUUGAAGAAUUCAGUGAAUCAUCGAGUCUUUGAACGCACAUUGCGCCCCCUGGUAUUCCGGGGGGCAUGCCUGUCCGAGCGUCAUUGCUGCCCUCAAGCACGGCUUGUGUGUUGGGCCUCCGUCCUCCUCCCGGGGGACGGGCCCGAAAGGCAGCGGCGGCACCGCGUCCGGUCCUCGAGCGUAUGGGGCUUCGUCACCCGCUCUUGUAGGCCCGGCCGGCGCUUGCCGACACAUCAAUCUUUUUUCCAGGUUGACCUCGGAUCAGGUAGGGAUACCCGCUGAACUUAAGCAUAUCAAUAAGCGGAGGA